AUGUGGAAGACAGCGCAGAAUCUGGCCUGACAGACGCUCACCGAUGGCCGACCAUCAGCUUGGUGUGUCACGGCCCGUAAACUGGGACUUGGCAGUGUGACUCUUAUUCUGCCUGACAGACUGGACUGAAGACGGAGCGGUUUGACCAAUCAGAAAUUCACCAAUAAGCGCUGGAAUAUUGCAGUCAGCCUACAAGUGAAGAAGAGUUUAUGAAAGAUCAUGGAGAACAUAAAUGAUCCUGAACCCUGCAGAAUUAAGCAGGAAGAUAUUGAAGCACAAAUAGACCUGAUGGAAGCGAAUAAGGAGAUUGAAGAACUGACUGAAGCGAAGGAGAAACAUCACCAUGUCAAAACUGAAGAGACGUCUUUA